rnacentral:rRNA from 1 species
UACGUAGGGGGCAAGCGUUAUCCGGAAUUAUUGGGCGUAAAGCGUGCGUAGGCGGUUUAUUAAGUCAGUCGUAAAAGAUCUCAGCCCAACUGAGUAGGGCGAUUGAAACUGAUAGACUUGAAUACGGUAGAGGUAAGUGGAAUUCCAUGUGUAGCGGUGGAAUGCGUAGAUAUAUGGAGGAACACCAAUGGCGAAGGCAGCUUACUGGGCCGGAAUUGACGCUGAGGCACGAAAGCGUGGGGAGC